rnacentral:rRNA from 1 species
CGCGGCCUAUCAGCUUGUUGGUGAGGUAAUGGCUCACCAAGGCGACGACGGGUAGCCGGCCUGAGAGGGCGACCGGCCACACUGGGACUGAGACACGGCCCAGACUCCUACGGGAGGCAGCAGUGGGGAAUAUUGGGCAAUGGAGGAAACUCUGACCCAGCGACGCCGCGUGCGGGAUGAAGGCCUUCGGGUUGUAAACCGCUUUCAGCAGGGAAGAAGCGAAAGUGACGGUACCUGCAGAAGAAGCACCGGCUAACUAUGUGCCAGCAGCCGCGGUAAUACAUAGGGUGCAAGCGUUGUCCGGAAUUAUUGGGCGUAAAGAGCUCGUAGGUGGGUCGUCACGUCGGAUGUGAAACUCUGGGGCUUAACCCCAGACCUGCAUUCGAUACGGGCGAGCUUGAGUAUGGUAGGGGAGUCUGGAAUUCCUGGUGUAGCGGUGGAAUGCGCAGAUAUCAGGAGGAACACCAAUGGCGAAGGCAGGACUCUGGGCCAUUACUGACACUGAGGAGCGAAAGCGUGGGGAGCGAACAGGAUUAGAUACCCUGGUAGUCCACGCCGUAAACGGUGGGCACUAGUUGUGGGGACCUUCCACGGUCUCUGCGACGCAGCUAACGCAUUAAGUGCCCCGCCUGGGGAGUACGG